AGGACAUUCGAACAAACAAAAAAUGUCUGCUCCACCACUUAUGCCACAGAUUAUGCAUAUGUUUCGAUUAAACAGAAAAGCAAUCUGGAAAAACCUUGCAGCUGCACAUGUUUCCACAGCAUUUGUUCUUUAUGCUGUAUAUAAAAUUCCUGUUUCAGAAGAAGCAAAGAGAGCAUCGAAAACUUUAAACCCAUGGCAAGACUCUGGUCAUUAAAAUACAACAUAUUGUUAAAUGUUUAGAACCGGAUCGUAUACUGUUUCAUAAAUGAUAAAAAGUUGUAUUG